GACGGGGGGUCCUAGCGUUGUUCGGAAUUAUUGGGCGUAAAGCGUGUGCAGGUUGUUUAAAAAGUUAGAUGUGAAAUCCUUGGGCUCAACCCAAGACGUGCAUUUAAAACUGUUAGACUUGAGUAUGGAAGAGGGUCGUGGAAUUCCAGGUGUAGUGGUGAAAUACGUAGAUAUCUGGAGGAACACCGGUGGCGAAGGCGGCGACCUGGUCCGAAUACUGACACUCAUACACGAAAGCGUGGGGAUCAAACAGGG
rnacentral:rRNA from 1 species